CCUACGGGGGGCAGCAGUCGAGAAUCAUUCACAAUGGGGGAAACCCUGAUGGUGCGACGCCGCGUGGGGGAAUGAAGGUCUUCGGAUUGUAAACCCCUUUCAUGUGGGAGCAAAUUAAAAAGAUAGUACCCCACGAGGAAGAGACGGCUAACUCUGUGCCAGCAGCCGCGUUAAUACAGAGGUCUCAAGCGUUGUUCGGAAGCACUGGGCGUAAAGGGUGCGUAUGCUGUUUCGUAAGUCGUGUGUGAAAGGCGCGGGCUCAACCCUCGGACGGCACAUGAUACUGCGAGACGAGAGUAAGGGAGGGGGAACCGGAAUGCUAGGUGUAGCAGUGAAAUGCGUAGAUAUCGAGAGGAACACUAGUGGCGAAGGCGGGUUACUGGACAAUAACUGACGCUGAGGCACGAAGGCCAGGGGAGCGAAAGGGAUUAGAUACCCCAGUAGUC
rnacentral:rRNA from 1 species